rnacentral:rRNA from 1 species
CCUACGGGAGGCAGCAGUGAGGAAUAUUGGUCAAUGGGCGAGAGCCUGAACCAGCCAAGUCGCGUGAGGGAGUACUGCCCUAUGGGUUGUAAACCUCUUUUGUCGGGGAGCAAAAGCCGGACGUGUCCGGCUGUGAGAGUACCCGAAGAAAAAGCAUCGGCUAACUCCGUGCCAGCAGCCGCGGUAAGACGGAGGAUGCGCGCGUUAUCCGGAUUUAUUGGGUUUAAAGGGUGCGCAGGCGGAUUUUUAAGUCAGCGGUAAAAUCGUGGGGCUCAACCCCAUCCAGCCGUUGAAACUGGGGAUCUAGAGUGUGCGAGAGGUAUGCGGAAUGCGUGGUGUAGCGGUGAAAUGCAUAGAUAUCACGCAGAACCCCGAUUGCGAAGGCAGCAUACCGGUGCACAACUGACGCUCAGGCACGAAAGCGUGGGUAUCGAACAGGAUUAGAUACCCCUGUAGUC